UGUAAGCGUAUACCAAAGUUGUUGCAGUUAAAACGCUCGUAGUCGGAAUUUGGCAGUUCCGGAUGUGUGCACGUCGUGUGCGCACUUCGCGGGGAUUGCUUUUUUGGUCUUGCGUAGGAUGAGGCACUUUUAUUAGUGAACGUCCUCACGCAACCACUUUUUACUGUGAGAAAAUCAGAGUGCUCAAAGCAGGCAUUUGCCGUGAAUGUAUUAGCAUGGAAUAAUAGAAUAGGACUUGGUUCUAUUUUGUUGGUUUGUUGGGACUGAGUAAUGAUUAAGAGGGACAGUUGGGGGCAUUUGUAUUUCGGUGCUAGAGGUGAAAUUCUUAGAUUACCGAAAGACAAACUGCUGCGAAAGCGUCUGCCAAGGAUGUUUUCAUUGA
rnacentral:rRNA from 1 species